AGAUAUACUGCUUGAAGUUGUGCCCUCUGGGGAAUUUUUCUUACCUCUAGUCUGCAGUAAAGCAGUAAUCCUAUGCUGUCCACUUGGCACAAACCAGGACAACCACCAGCACAUACAGUCAUGAUAGAGAGGACUGCCUAAAACAUAUAGAUACUUAAUUUUGAGCUGACUAUAGUGAAUGGAUGAAACAUUGGGUUGGCUCCUUUGGGGAAGUGUUGGAAUGGAGAGGUCUGCCAGGGAAGCUUUGGAUGCCAUACGGUGAAGAUCGUAGAACAACUGUUGGCCAUUUGGAAGAGGAUUGCUCUACUGGAUUGUUUACUCUUGUGAGCAAAAAUAUAUUUGUGCUAUUACAUAUUUUGUGGUCCAUUUGUUGAAGCAAUUGACCUUGCCUAAUAAAAACAAGAUUAUUGAAGAAGGAGCAAUAAACACAUUUAUUAAUAAAUUUAUCCUGAGUGAAACAGCA